CGUCCAGACUCCUACGGGAGGCAGCAGUGAGGAAUAUUGGUCAAUGGCCGUAAGGCUGAACCAGCCAAGUAGCGUGAGGGAAGACUGCCCUAUGGGUUGUAAACCUCUUUUAUGCGGGGAUAAAGGUGUCCACGUGUGGAUGUUUGCAGGUACCGCAUGAAUAAGGACCGGCUAAUUCCGUGCCAGCAGCCGCGGUAAUACGGAGGAUGCGAGCGUUAUCCGGAUUUAUUGGGUUUAAAGGGUGCGCAGGCGGAUUUUUAAGUCAGCGGUCAAAUCGUGGGGCUCAACCCCAUCCAGCCGUCGAAACUGGGGAUCUAGAGUGUGCGAGAAGUAUGCGGAAUGCGUGGUGUAGCGGUGAAAUGCAUAGAUAUCACGCAGAACCCCGAUUGCGAAGGCAGCAUGCCGGCUUCCGACUGACGCUGAAGCACGAAAGCGUGGGGAUCGAACAGGAUUAGAUACCCUUGUA
rnacentral:rRNA from 1 species